AUGGAUGAACUUAUGAAGAUGUUUGCUCCUAAAAAUACUCCUCUUGAUCCCAAUGAUAUGCCUUUGUCUACCUUGCUUGAGAAUAAUAAUGAAUCUAUGGAUGUGAAUUUUGUUGGUAGGAAUAGUUUUGGAAACAACGCGUAUAGAGGCAAUUUUAAUCAUAGGCCUUAUCCUAGUAAUCCUUCUGAUAAUUAUGGAAAUUCUUACAACAACUCUUAUGGAAAUUUUAAUAAGAUGCCCUCUGAAUUUGAGAGUAGUGUUAAAGAGUUUAUGAAUUCGCAAAAGAAUUUUAAUGCUUUGCUUGAAGAGAAAUUGCUUAAAGUUGAUGAUUUGGUUAGGAACGUUGAUAGAAUUUCUCUUGAAACUGAUUCUUUAAAGCUUAGAUCUAUUCAUCCUAAGCAUGAUAUCAAUGAGUCUCUCAAAGCCAUGAGAAUUUCCAUUGAUGAGUGCAAAGAAAGAACCGCUAGGAUGCGUGCUUCCAAAGAUGCCUUUAUUAAAGCAUGUUCUUCCAAUUCCUAUGAAAAUCAAGAUGAAGAUCUAAAAGUUAUUGAUGUGUCACCCAUUAAAUCUUUGUUUUGCAAUAUGAAUCUUGAUGAAACUUAA
rnacentral:rRNA from 1 species